rnacentral:rRNA from 1 species
UGGGGAAUUUUGGACAAUGGGGGCAACCCUGAUCCAGCCAUUCCGCGUGAGUGAAGAAGGCCUUCGGGUUGUAAAGCUCUUUCAGCAGGAACGAAACGGUCGGCUUUAAUAAAGUCGGCUAAUGACGGUACCUGCAGAAGAAGCACCGGCUAACUACGUGCCAGCAGCCGCGGUAAUACGUAGGGUGCGAGCGUUAAUCGGAAUUACUGGGCGUAAAGCGUGCGCAGGCGGCGACAUAAGACAGAUGUGAAAUCCCCGGGCUCAACCUGGGAACUGCGUUUGUGACUGUGUUGCUAGAGUGUAGCAGAGGGGGGUGGAAUUCCACGUGUAGCAGUGAAAUGCGUAGAGAUGUGGAGGAACACCGAUGGCGAAGGCAGCCCCCUGGGUUAACACUGACGCUCAUGCACGAAAGCGUGGGGAGCAAACAGGAUUAGAUACCCCCGUAGUCCCUGAGCGGGCUGGCAAGGCGCAU